rnacentral:lncRNA from 1 species
CUUUUUUUCUACCUCUGCAUUUACACUUGCAGAUCAGGCUGUACUUAAUUUGUUAAAACAAUUCCUUGCGUCGCUGGGGCAGUAAGUUGCCAAUAGUCCCUCAUAUCGUGUUUGCAGGUGACAUCUGGUCCUGGGAUAAGGAAACUCUGGUUAACAAGGAGUCAUGGGAGAUGCCUAGCAGAGAAUGCCCACAAACACAUCAGGGACUGCUCCAGUGCGUGGGCCCACACAGUUAGGGGGAGUCUCGUUGCUGAGUCCUCCUCCCCCCUCUACAAAUGUGAAAACUGAAAGCAAUUGCAUCUGCCGGAGGAGAGAGCCCCACAUGGUUCCUUGAUGGGGGGGCGCAUCCUGAGCCGUGUGGUAAUCUCGGAAGCCGGAGAUUAAGAAAUGCUGCACUGGGAGUUUCCAUUCAGGAGGUGGAAGAGACAGGCACAGAGCAGAAGUUUCUGUUUUCAGAGUGUGGCACAUUUGAGGAAGUCACAGCACAAAGCAAUGAAUGAAAAAAGAAUACAUUUCAUAUAAAACGGGUGCAAUUUAGGUACUUUGAGAGUCUGGAGUUUGAGCUUUCUGCACAUUAAGAGCAGGUGUCUGGUUCACACCCAGGCCCGGUAUACACAGGUUUAUUCAGAGGUAAACACCAACCACAGCUGAGAGAGACCAGGAAGCAGCGGGUUUCUCACCCCAACCCCCACCGGAGGACUCCAUCUCUGCCCCAGGCCCAUGGCCUUCCUAUCAUUGCUGGUCCCACUUUGCACCAUGAGAGCAAAAGUUGCUCCACCUCAGAUCAUCAGGGAUUGCAUCCUCGAGGUUGAGGACCCCUGCCUAACAGCAUCUCCUUCGGCCUGUCUUGCAAAAGAUACCCAGCAAGACUCAGGCACUAUUGGCGGGAGCGUGAGAGCAGGUACUCAAUAGGUACUGGGAACGUGGAUUUCGCAGAGGGGCGCUGUUUCCCUAGAAUCUUCUUCCGGCUUCCCUGGGAGUAAACGCUUUCCACUUGGGAAGGACGAUCACUCUAGAUGAACUUUGAGCUUCUGCCCCAGCAGGAUAGACUCCCAGAUUCGACGCUGGGGUUAGGAGGAAAUCAGGGCAGACAUACUUUGGUGUCGGGCAGCAUCACCAAUAACUAGUUCCAAUGAAGGCCGGAAAGAGCGAAACCAGGUUUUGCUGGCGGCGAUCCCGGCCCGGGUCCAGGGGUUCGCCCUUACCCCAUACCAAACUCCCCUGGUUUGGGCUUACACUGCGGCCGCCUCUCGCG